CGGGGUUAGUGGCGCACGGGUGCGUAACGCGUGGGAACCUGCCUUUAGGUUCGGAAUAACUCAGAGAAAUUUGAGCUAAUACCGGAUAAUGUCUUCGGACCAAAGAUUUAUCGCCUUUAGAUGGGCCCGCGUUAGAUUAGAUAGUUGGUGGGGUAACGGCCUACCAAGUCGACGAUCUAUAGCUGGUCUGAGAGGAUGAUCAGCCACACUGGGACUGAGACACGGCCCAGACUCCUACGGGAGGCAGCAGUGGGGAAUAUUGGACAAUGGGCGAAAGCCUGAUCCAGCAAUGCCGCGUGAGUGAUGAAGGCCUUAGGGUUGUAAAGCUCUUUUACUAGGGAUGAUAAUGACAGUACCUAGAGAAUAAGCUCCGGCUAACUCCGUGCCAGCAGCCGCGGUAAUACGGAGGGAGCUAGCGUUGUUCGGAAUUACUGGGCGUAAAGCGCGCGUAGGCGGCUUUUUAAGUCAGGGGUGAAAUCCCGGAGCU
rnacentral:rRNA from 1 species